UUAAGCGACUAAGCGUACACGGUGGAUGCCCUGGCAGUCAGAGGCGAUGAAGGACGUGCUAAUCUGCGAUAAGCGUCGGUGAGGUGAUAUGAACCGUUAUAACCGGCGAUUUCCGAAUGGGGAAACCCAGUGUGUUUCGACACACUAUCAUUAACUGAAUCCAUAGGUUAAUGAGCGAUACAGGGUGACAGCCCCGUACACAAAAAUGCACAUAUUGUGAGCUCGAUGAGUAGGGCGGGACACGUGGUAUCCUGUCUGAAUAUGGGGGGACCAUCCUCCAAGGCUAAAUACUCCUGACUGACCGAUAGUGAACCAGUACCGUGAGGGAAAGGCGAAAAGAACCCCGGCGAGGGGAGUGAAAAAGAACCUGAAACCGUGUACGUACAAGCAGUGGGAGCCUCUUAAUGGGGUGACUGCGUACCUUUUGUAUAAUGGGUCAGCGACUUAUAUUCUGUAGCAAGGUUAACCGAAUAGGGGAGCCGGAGGGAAACCGAGUCUUAACUGGGCGUUAAGUUGCAGGGUAUAGACCCGAAACCCGGUGAUCUAGCCAUGGGCAGGUUGAAGGUUGGGUAACACUAACUGGAGGACCGAACCGACUAAUGUUGAAAAAUUAGCGGAUGACUUGUGGCUGGGGGUGAAAGGCCAAUCAAACCGGGAGAUAGCUGGUUCUCCCCGAAAGCUAUUUAGGUAGCGCCUCGUGAAUUCAUCUCCGGGGGUAGAGCACUGUUUCGGCAAGGGGGUCAUCCCGACUUACCAACCCGAUGCAAACUGCGAAUACCGGAGAAUGUUAUCACGGGAGACACACGGCGGGUGCUAACGUCCGUCGUGAAGAGGGAAACAACCCAGACCGCCAGCUAAGGUCCCAAAGUCAUGGUUAAGUGGGAAACGAUGUGGGAAGGCCCAGACAGCCAGGAUGUUGGCUUAGAAGCAGCCAUCAUUUAAAGAAAGCGUAAUAGCUCACUGGUCGAGUCGGCCUGCGCGGAAGAUGUAACGGGGCUAAACCAUGCACCGAAGCUGCGGCAGCGACGCUUAUGCGUUGUUGGGUAGGGGAGCGUUCUGUAAGCCUGCGAAGGUGUGCUGUGAGGCAUGCUGGAGGUAUCAGAAGUGCGAAUGCUGACAUAAGUAACGAUAAAGCGGGUGAAAAGCCCGCUCGCCGGAAGACCAAGGGUUCCUGUCCAACGUUAAUCGGGGCAGGGUGAGUCGACCCCUAAGGCGAGGCCGAAAGGCGUAGUCGAUGGGAAACAGGUUAAUAUUCCUGUACUUGGUGUUACUGCGAAGGGGGGACGGAGAAGGCUAUGUUGGCCGGGCGACGGUUGUCCCGGUUUAAGCGUGUAGGCUGGUUUUCCAGGCAAAUCCGGAAAAUCAAGGCUGAGGCGUGAUGACGAGGCACUACGGUGCUGAAGCAACAAAUGCCCUGCUUCCAGGAAAAGCCUCUAAGCAUCAGGUAACAUCAAAUCGUACCCCAAACCGACACAGGUGGUCAGGUAGAGAAUACCAAGGCGCUUGAGAGAACUCGGGUGAAGGAACUAGGCAAAAUGGUGCCGUAACUUCGGGAGAAGGCACGCUGAUAUGUAGGUGAAGCGACUUGCUCGUGGAGCUGAAAUCAGUCGAAGAUACCAGCUGGCUGCAACUGUUUAUUAAAAACACAGCACUGUGCAAACACGAAAGUGGACGUAUACGGUGUGACGCCUGCCCGGUGCCGGAAGGUUAAUUGAUGGGGUUAGCGGUAACGCGAAGCUCUUGAUCGAAGCCCCGGUAAACGGCGGCCGUAACUAUAACGGUCCUAAGGUAGCGAAAUUCCUUGUCGGGUAAGUUCCGACCUGCACGAAUGGCGUAAUGAUGGCCAGGCUGUCUCCACCCGAGACUCAGUGAAAUUGAACUCGCUGUGAAGAUGCAGUGUACCCGCGGCAAGACGGAAAGACCCCGUGAACCUUUACUAUAGCUUGACACUGAACAUUGAGCCUUGAUGUGUAGGAUAGGUGGGAGGCUUUGAAGUGUGGACGCCAGUCUGCAUGGAGCCGACCUUGAAAUACCACCCUUUAAUGUUUGAUGUUCUAACGUUGGCCCCUGAUCGGGGUUGCGGACAGUGUCUGGUGGGUAGUUUGACUGGGGCGGUCUCCUCCUAAAGAGUAACGGAGGAGCACGAAGGUUGGCUAAUCCUGGUCGGACAUCAGGAGGUUAGUGCAAUGGCAUAAGCCAGCUUGACUGCGAGCGUGACGGCGCGAGCAGGUGCGAAAGCAGGUCAUAGUGAUCCGGUGGUUCUGAAUGGAAGGGCCAUCGCUCAACGGAUAAAAGGUACUCCGGGGAUAACAGGCUGAUACCGCCCAAGAGUUCAUAUCGACGGCGGUGUUUGGCACCUCGAUGUCGGCUCAUCACAUCCUGGGGCUGAAGUAGGUCCCAAGGGUAUGGCUGUUCGCCAUUUAAAGUGGUACGCGAGCUGGGUUUAGAACGUCGUGAGACAGUUCGGUCCCUAUCUGCCGUGGGCGCUGGAGAACUGAGGGGGGCUGCUCCUAGUACGAGAGGACCGGAGUGGACGCAUCACUGGUGUUCGGGUUGUCAUGCCAAUGGCACUGCCCGGUAGCUAAAUGCGGAAGAGAUAAGUGCUGAAAGCAUCUAAGCACGAAACUUGCCCCGAGAUGAGUUCUCCCUGAGACUUUAAGUCUCCUGAAGGAACGUUGAAGACGACGACGUUGAUAGGCCGGGUGUGUAAGCGCAGCGAUGCGUUGAGCUAACCGGUACUAAUGAACCGUGAGGCUUAACCUU
rnacentral:rRNA from 1 species